AAUGAACGCUGGCGGCAUGCCUUACACAUGCAAGUCGAACGGCAGCAUGACCUAGCUUGCUGGGUUGAUGGCGAGUGGCGAACGGGUGAGUAAUGCAUCGGAACGUGCCGUUUUGGGGGUGAUAACGUAGCGAAAGUUACGCUAAUACCGCAUAUUCUCUGAGGAGGGAAGCAGGUGGCCAUCUGGCCUUGCGCUAGAAGAGCGGCCGAUGUCGUAUUAGCUAGUUGGGGGGGUAAAGGCUCACCGAGGCAACGAGCCGUAGCGGGUCUGAGGGGCUGAUGGGCCGCCUGGGGACUGAGACACGGCCCAGAGUCCUACGGGAGGCAGCAGUGGGGAAUUUUGGACAAUGGGCGCAAGCAUGGUCCAGCCAUGCCGCGUGAGUGAAGAAGGCCUUCGGGUUGUAAAGCUCUUUCGGCUGGGAAGAAAUCGCACCCUCUAAUACAGGGUGUGGAUGACGGUACCAGCAUAAGAAGCACCGGCUAACUACGUG
rnacentral:rRNA from 1 species